rnacentral:rRNA from 1 species
GAUGAACGCUGGCGGCGUGCCUAAUACAUGCAAGUCGAGCGAACAGACGAGGAGCUUGCUCCUCUGACGUUAGCGGCGGACGGGUGAGUAACACGUGGAUAACCUACUUAUAAGACUGGGAUAACUUCGGGAAACCGGAGCUAAUACCGGAUAAUAUAUUGAACCGCAUGGAUCAAGAGUGAAAGACGGCUUUGCCGUCACUUAUAGAUGGAUCCGCGCCGCAUUAGCUAGUUGGUAAGGUAACGGCUUACCAAGGCAACGAUGCGUAGCCGACCUGAGAGGGUGAUCGGCCACACUGGAACUGAGACACGGUCCAGACUCCUACGGGAGGCAGCAGUAGGGAAUCUUCCGCAAUGGGCGAAAGCCUGACGGAGCAACGCCGCGUGAGUGAUGAAGGUCUUCGGAUCGUAAAGCUCUGUUAUUAGGGAAGAACAGAUGUGUAAGUAACUAUGCACGUCUUGACGGUACCUAAUCAGAAAGCCACGGCUAACUACGUG